rnacentral:lncRNA from 1 species
CAGGGCAGGGCCUGUUAGCUUAUGACCAGCAGGUGACCUGAUUUCCUUGUCCACUGGCACAGAGCACACCCUGCCACAGUGCAAGCCUGAGAAGCAGUGAGGACCCCAUGAAGCUGAAGGACAGGCCGAUCCCCCGAUAGACGAUUAGAUCUGGCUGGAGCAGAUUCAGAAAACCUCUUAUCUCCCCCAGGCGGAUGAUGUGCCCACCGACCACAUCAGCCACGAAACCCAGCUCAUGGCACCUGGAGCUGAUGAAUGGCCCUGGUGCUGACUGCCCAGAAACCAAUCCGGAAACCAGGCUUCCCACAGAAGAGGCAGCUGGAGAGCCAAGCACUCUUGGACUACAGUCCUAGGCUGGAGCUGCCAAUACAGGCUCUGCCCAGCUAAUCUUCUCUGAGCCUGCAAAUAUUAAACCUGACAUACAGACUCAAGUGAAUCCAGAAAACAGGCUCACAGGGCAGCUGAAAAUUCCAAGUGCCUAAGUGAGAUCCAGUGCGACAGUGGAGCAUGUGUGCGCAGAGGAGACAGGAACAACAACCGGGAUGUCAUGCGGGCGCACUGGGGCUCCUUGUGGCCCCAGUGCACAGAAUUCUGGUGGACCCACCAUGUGUGGGAGCUCAGUGAGACUCAAAGUAAGUGCAAGGCCCUCCUCACACAUCGUACGCUGAAGGUGGAGCACACUGGGAAAAUGUGCAUGCAUCAAGAAGAAAAAUGAAAACUGAUUUUGUGCAACAUUUCCACUGUUCUUGGAAGAAUGAAAUAAAUGCAUAUGAGCUAUGAAA